rnacentral:rRNA from 1 species
CUAAUACCCAAUGAUAUCUCUAGAAGGCAUCUGAAAGAGAUUAAAGAUUUAUCGGUGAUGGAUGGGGAUGCGUCUGAUUAGCCUGUUGGCGGGGUAACGGCCCACCAAGGCAACGAUCAGUAGGGGUUCUGAGAGGAAGGUCCCCCACAUUGGAACUGAGACACGGUCCAAACUCCUACGGGAGGCAGCAGUGAGGAAUAUUGGUCAAUGGACGAGAGUCUGAACCAGCCAAGUAGCGUGCAGGAUGACGGCCCUAUGGGUUGUAAACUGCUUUUAUAAGGGAAUAAAGUGAGUCUCGUGAGACUUUUUGCAUGUACCUUAUGAAUAAGGACCGGCUAAUUCCGUGCCAGCAGCCGCGGUAAUACGGAAGGUCCGGGCGUUAUCCGGAUUUAUUGGGUUUAAAGGGAGCGUAGGCCGGAGAUUAAGCGUGUUGUGAAAUGUAGAUGCUCAACAUCUGAACUGCAGCGCGAACUGGUUUCCUUGAGUACGCACAAAGUGGGCGGAAUUCGUGGUGUAGCGGUGAAAUGCUUAGAUAUCACGAAGAACUCCGAUUGCGAAGGCAGCUCACUGGAGCGCAACUGACGCUGAAGCUCGAAAGUGCGGGUAUCGAACAGGAUUAGAUACCCUGGUAGUCCGCACGGUAAAC